GGCCUCAUCUAGAAUGGGCGCUGUCAACUGGUGUCCAAAAUUGGUCAGUGCGGCUAAAUGGAGACACAGGUGAUGCCUCUGUCAUAGUAAAUGUAUCACUGUGGUGACCGUGAGACCUGUGACACUU
ensembl:snoRNA